CAAAUGGCCUUUUUCAGGGCCACCAUUUUUUCAAGAAACAGUUGU
rfam:Culex pipiens quinquefasciatus supercont3.323 genomic scaffold, whole genome shotgun sequence.